rnacentral:lncRNA from 1 species
GGGGGUUAACCAAAAGAGGUUAAUUCCAUGAGCAUGAGUUUCAAACUUGACUUUUGAUUAAAUUAAUAAUCAGCUUUGCUUUCAUUUUAUCUUUUCUCCCACCGUCAGAAGAAUAACAUAGAAGCAUUUCCACUAUAGUUAGAAUUUUCUGAAAGGUAUCUAUCUCGGUUUCAUAUAAAAAUUGAUAUAGAAUCUUUGAAAAAGCCCUUUCUUCCUAAGAAAGAAAAGGCUUACUGUCUUUGGGAUCUGAUGCUACACCGCUGCUCAAUACCUUAGGGGAUCGACUUUAUUACAUAAGUGGAUUCCUUACUUUUAUCUCAUAUCAUGACAUAAAUAAGCAGUUCUUAUUGGAUCGGCAUCGGCCCAAAACCUCGCGAAUUGAUCUUUACGGUGCUUCCUCUAUCAAUUAGAUCCUUUAUCCAUAGAAUAAACUAUCUAGGCAUAUCGAUUUCUUCAUAUUUCGACUUCUAUGAAGUUUCUUUCUUUGCUACAGCUGAUAAAAAUCGUUUUUGCACGAUGCAUAUGUAGAAAGCCUAUUUUUUUUUUUUUCGAGUAUUUAUUAGUGUAUUUGCUCUUUACCCCCUCCUUUUUUUUUUUUCUUUUACUUUUUUCUUUCUAUAGUAGAGAUAGUCGCACGUAAUGACAGAUCACAGCCAUAUUAUUAAAAGCUUGUGGUAAGAACGGAUUUCGUUCUAGUGCCCGAAAAUAAUAUUCUAAAGCUUUUGUAUGUUCUCCGUUACUUGUGUGGAUAAGGCCUAUGUUAUAGAGUAUAUAGCUUCGAUCGUAAGGAUCAAUUUCUAGUCGCAUAGCUUCAUAAUAAUUCUGUAAAGCUUCCGCAUAAUUGCCUUCAGAUUGAGCUGACAUCCGUUACGGUCGUCAUUCGAUUCAAAGAAUUCUCCGUUUCAAAACCGUACAUGAGAUGAAAAUCUCAUACGGCUCCUCCUUUAUGUGCAUUAUGAGAAUAAUCCAUGAAAUCAAAAAAGAUUGAAAUAUUCUCAUUAUGAACUAAGUGGGGCUAAUGUUUUUACAAGAAAUCUCUAGCCAACCUUCCUGCAAAAGCUUUUUUCUUAAUAUCACGCGUGUUGGUACUAGAUAAAACCGGAAACUCCAACAAUUUCUUUGUUCUCAACGCCCCUUAAUUUACAGGAAUUAAUCACUUCAACAGUCUUCGAUGGUUAUACGGGUAUCCACAGUACGAACGAGAUGGAUGUUUGUUAUCCCAACCAUUCUUCUUAGUCCCGAUCCCGCUAAGGAAAGGGGGCAGCUUAUAACAAAGUUUUCGUGUUGCUGAUUCCUAGACGUAGCGCCUCUUCCCCUAUGCCGCCUAUUGGUACUGGUGUAGUAGGGUUGACUUGCAAUACAGAACCCAUAGGUGUAACCUUUCGCUCAAUACUAGAAUCGACAAUUGAAGCAUCUGAGGCUGCAUUAAUCGGGGAUACACGACAGAAGGAAUGGUUUUAUCUAUAAACUUCACCUUCAACAAGCGUAGAUUUUUUCAAUAAUCUUUUUUUUUUUUUUUCUAUCCCGAAUUGUCUUUCUUUCUUCUAAGACCGAAAGGGGUAAAUAAAAAACUAAUCAAAUCGCACCAUCUCUGUAAUAGGUAAAUGCCUCUUUUUCUCCUACAGUUGUCGGAAUUAUUCGUAAUAAUAUAUUGGCUACAAUCGAAAAGUCUUAUCAAUAAAAUUUCCGUUUAUCCGCGAUCUAGGCAUAGGUAAAAAUCCAUUCUAUAAUUCGUUUCAUUACCUCUUGUGAGAAAAUGAUCCCACAAACAAAGGAAUUGUACAGUACAAAAUAACAUAAAAGCAGACGUGUUAAAAAAAAUAAAAAAAAAAAUAGACCGAUCCGUUGAUUCGUUCCAACUCAUUGAUUAAAUCAGGUAGAAAUAUCAAAAAAAAAAAAAAGGAGCGCCAUCUUUGCAAACAAGAUAUAUAGCCUUAUUGUUUUUGUUUUGAACAGUUUUUCACAAACAAAAAAGUUAUCCUUUUCCCCAGACUCAAAGGAAGAAUUUUUCUUUGCUGAAAGGGUUUCUAUUUUUCUAGUUAGAACGGAUUCGAUUGUCCGUACCCAUCUACCAAUCGAAUUUGAACAACUCGCUAUUCGCGGGUUCUCGGUCAUAAUCAUUGUGUAGGAGAGAUGGCCGAGUGGUUCAAGGCGUAGCAUUGGAACUGCUAUGUAGACUUUUGUUUACCGGGGGUUCGAAUCCCUCUCUUUCCGUACCUUGAACUAAUCAUCAAUGUUACUGACCGGAAUGUAUCCAAGCAAAAAGAAUGAAUACCAGUCAGACCUUUUUUUGAGCUAGAUUCUCAAUUCCUACGGGAAAGAAAGGGAAGGGGCAGGCAGGGGAUAAAAAUCUACCCUCGGAUCUAUGAUACAUGAAUGGGAUAAAAAAAAAACUCCACGGAUCAAACUCCUUACCUUGUAUCCCUUUCCUUAAGUUAGGUGAAAGGGUAAAUUUGUACGAGCCCGUUAUUUUAGUUAGGUUUAAGUUUGACGAGAAUAAUAUUCUACGACAAGCAAUUCAUUUAUUUUCAAACCGACCCAUUGACUAUCUAUUAUUUGAUUGACUAAUCCUUUAUAUUGGAAUGCGCGAAGAGUCAAAUGCUUUGGCAAUUCCUCAUGGUGGGAUGAAUCAAGAUAAUUUUGAACCAGAGAUCUAGAUUUUGGGUCAUCCCUUACUGUAAUAAUAUCUCGGGGUUUGCAACGAUAACUUGGUAUAUCGACUAUACGACCAUUAACUAAAAUAUGUCGAUGGUUAACCAAUUGGCGGGCUUGAGGAAUAGUUGAAGCCAUACCCAAUCGAAAAAGAAUGUUAUCCAAACGCAUUUCAAGUAAUUGUAGUAAAACCAGACCGGUUGACCCUUUGGCUUUUCUGGCGAUACGAACAUAUUUAAGUAAUUGUCGUUCUGUAAGACCAUAAUGAAAACGCAAUUUUUUGUUUUUCUUCUAAACGAAUUCGAUUGAGAUUUUUUUUACGGAGCGCAAUUGGUUUCUAAAAUUCGCUUCCGGCUCUAGGCCUUUUACUCGUUAGUCCCGGCAAAGCCCCCAGACGGCGUAUUUUUUUGAAACGAGGCCCUCGGUAACGUGACAUAAAGACUCCUUAUUUUAUUGAAUUUCAUAAACCUAAAUUAAAACUGAGCUACAUGAUAAAUGAAGCAAAAUCCGCUGAAGUAUUGUACUACAAAGAAUACUAAGAUGAUUUGUAUCAAAUUCCAGACCCCUUUUUGUAUUGUAUACGCAUAUAGAAAUAUAAAUCAAAAGAGGGUUCCUUUUCUUGAUUUAUUCUGCCGAAAUCGAACUUCCUCCAACUUUUAUUCAUAAUUGGAAGCUCCUACAACAUACUGGAUCGAUGAUCCUUGGAAGAAGCCUUUUCAAUGUUCUUUUCUUUCAAAAAGACAUUAUCAAUCAUGUAAAAAAUCAAACAAAUAGAGAAAAGCCGGCUAUCGGAAUCGAACCGAUGACCAUCGCAUUACAAAUGCGAUGCUCUAACCUCUGAGCUAAGCGGGCUUAAAUAAGAGAAAUUGUACAUGCGUAGGGAUCCUAGGAUCUUAUCUAUUAACCUUUUAUUCUUAGCUAUUCAUAAAGAAUAAAAUAGAGAAUCGAAUUUCAAAUAAAUGUUGAAUACUAUAGAUAUAGAACAUAACGAUUAAUCUAACAAUUACGAGAAUCUAGUGAUGAUAUAUAUUAGCGAAUUUGGAUUUUUUUAUCAAUUCUAUAUUGAUCAACAAUAAAUAUCUUACUCUUAAUUAGAUAAUAAAAUACGAUUUGAUUUAUUUAUUAUUUUUUUUUUUUUCAUUUUUGAAUUCAAGACAUUUAAAAUUAUUUUUUUGUUUCUAACCUAAGAUUCUUAAUAUAUUCUAUUCGAUUAUUCUAUAUUAUAGAAUAUACAUAAUAUUCGAUUAUUAUUCUAUAUUCUAUAUAUAUUUAGUUAUUCUAAAUCGAAUAUUAUAUUCGAUUCUUAUUAUCCAUUUUCGAAAUUCUAAAUUUGCUCUAUUCUAAUUCGAAAUAAUUAGGCUUUAGACUAAAUAAUUAGAAUUAUCUUCGAAUUCUAAUUUAAUUGACUGAGUAGUUAUAGCUAUUCUAUUGAUUAGGUCUAGCUAUUAUAUUCUAAAUGAUUAAUAAAAAUGAUUUAUUUUUAUUUAAUAAAUUGAAAUUGGAAUUUGAGUUAUUUUUGGUUAUGUUAUAUAGGUUCUUCCUUAAGGAAAGGGCAAGUAUAAAUAGAAAAUGAAAUGAAAGAGAAAGAUACAAUCCCGCUAAAUGGAAUCUGGAUUAGAAUGAGACAUUUUUGUUUUCAUUCGAAAAGGGGCGUAAGAAAAAACGAAAAAAUAAAUCGACCGUUCGAGUAUUCCGCCGGAUUGCACGAAAAAAAUGAGAGUAAGGGGGGCAUAUAUAUUUUAUGGUAGUUUAUAUCCAUCUAUAUUGAAUUGCGGAUACAGAAAAGAUAGAAUCAUUUCUGACAAGAAAGCAAAACACCUUUCGAUAUAUAUAAAUCCAUAUCUACGGAAUUCUACUGUUUCCGCAGAAAUGAAAGAAAGGGGGAACAGCAUUGAGUUCCUAAAACACAAAGGGGAUAUGGCGAAAUUGGUAGACGCUACGGACUUAAUUGGAUUGAGCCUUAGUAUGGAAACUUACUAAGUGAUAACUUUCAAAUUCAGAGAAACCCAGGAAUUAAAAAUGGGUAAUCCUGAGCCAAAUCCUCUUCUCUUUUCCAAGAACAAACAGGGGUUCAGAAAGCGAAAAAGGGGGAUAGGUGCAGAGACUCAAUGGAAGCUGUUCUAACAAAUGGAGUUGACUGCCCUUUUUGGUAAAGAAAAAAGAAAGUCAAAUGAAUGCUUCUAUCGAAUAUCGAAACUCGAUAAAGGAUGAAGGAUAAGGGUAUAUAGACUAUGUAUACGCAGCGAAAAACUAACUCAAAAAUCACAACCAAAUACGUAUUUCUUUUUAUGAAAAAGAAAAGAAUUGUUAUUGUUAUGAAUCGAUUCUAAGUUGAAGAANGCAAGCAU